AACCAAGGAAUUUAGUCAUUUUUUUCGGUAAAAAGACAGUUAGGCAGAAAUAAGAUCACUAGACCUUUAGUACAGGGGUAAAAUCUAAAUACUAAGAGUUAUAUCAGGUGUGGUUUAUUUUAGAUGCUGAAUCUGUGACGACUUUAAGGGAAACUGGGAUUGGAUACCCCAUUAUUUUUAGUAGUAAAUUUAAUCUAAGUUUACCAGAGUACUACGAAUAAAAAAUUUAAAACUCAAAGAGCUUGGCGGUGUUUUAGACCUCUCAGGGGAACCUGUCUCAUAAUCGACAAUCCACGUUAAACCCGACCCUUUAUAGCAAUUCAGCCUGUAUACCGUUGUCGUCAGGUAACUUCUUAAAAUGUAGUAGUUAGCUCGAGAAUAUUAUUAAUUAGUACGUCAAAUCAAGGUGCAGCUAAUAAAAGGGAGAGGAUGGGUUACAAUUAUAUAUUUAUAAUUACGAAAAACAUUUUAAAUAAAGGUGCUGGAAGGAGGACUUGAAAGUAAUUUUGAUUAUAUAAACAGAAUGAAUAAGGCUCUGAAACGUGC
rnacentral:rRNA from 1 species